AGCUCUCCGAGUAGUAGGGACGUUUAUUGGGCCUAAAGCGUCCGUAGCCGGCUCAGCAAGUCUCCCGUUAAAUCCAGCGAUUCAAUCGUUGGACUGCGGGAGAUACUGCUAGGCUAGGAGACGGGAGAGGUCGACGGUAUUCCCGGAGUAGGGGUGAAAUCCUAUAAUUCCGGGAGGACCACCAGUGGCGAAGGCUGUCGACUAGAACGAGCUCAACGGUGAGGGACGAAAGCUGGGGGAGCGAACCGGAUUAGAUACCCGAGUAGUCC
rnacentral:rRNA from 1 species